GCAAAAGUUAUUGUUAUAUGUUGCACUGGCCAAAAUGGAGAAUUCCUGGCCAGUGCACAUAUAACAGUAAUUUUAGCU
rnacentral:pre_miRNA from 1 species